CCCGCUGAACUUAAGCAUAUCAAUAAGCGGAGGAAAAGAAACUAACAAGGAUUCCCCUAGUAACUGCGAGUGAAGCGGGAAAAGCUCAAAUUUAAAAUCUGGCGGUUCUUGUAGCCGUCCGAGUUGUAAUUUAGAGAAGUGUUAUCCGCGCUGGACCGUGUACAAGUCUCCUGGAAUGGAGCGUCAUAGAGGGUGAGAAUCCCGUCUUUGACACGGACUACCAGGGCAUUGUGAUACGCUCUCAAAGAGUCGAGUUGUUUGGGAUUGCAGCUCAAAAUGAGUGGUAAAUUCCAUCUAAAGCUAAAUAUUGGGGAGAGACCGAUAGCGAACAAGUACCGUGAGGGAAAGAUGAAAAGAACUUUGGAAAGAGAGUUAAACAGUACGUGAAAUUGCUGAAAGGGAAACGCUUGAAGUCAGUCGCGUCGUUCAGGAUUCAGCUUUAGCAUCUGCUUUGUGCAUUUCCUGUUUGACGGGUCAGCAUCAGUUUUGGCCGGUGGAUAAAGGUUCAGAGAAUGUGGCAUCCUCGGAUGUGUUAUAGCUCUGGGUCGCAUACAUCGGCUGGGACUGAGGAACUCAGCACGCCGCAAGGCCAGGUUUCGACCAUGUUCGUGCUUAGGAUGCUGGCAUAAUGGCUUUAAUCGACCCGUCUUGAAACACGG
rnacentral:rRNA from 1 species